GCACUGAAAGUGAGAGUUGGAUGAAAACAAACUGACUGAUCAUCAGACAACUCCAACAGAUCACUGAUCAGAUUGUUUUCCUCCAAUAUCUCACCUUCAGCAA
rnacentral:pre_miRNA from 2 species